ACUAUCAGAUCUGAAAGUUAAAUAUUCUAUUCUGAUUAAUCUCCGAAUAUCAAUCGAAUGGAUUCUGGAGAUAUCUCCGUGAGGAGCCCCAAAGGAGGGUAAAACCUCGGAAAUCGGACCUAGACCCUGACACCAAAUAAAAGAUUAAUGUAGGAUUAAUACCUUUUAUGAUGGAUGAAACUUGUGGAUCUGAUCCUCGACUUCGCAGCCACGCACACGAAUGGCCUC
rnacentral:lncRNA from 1 species